rnacentral:rRNA from 1 species
GACGAACGCUGGCGGCGUGCUUAACACAUGCAAGUCGAGCGAGCCGCGGACGGGUGUGUAAUGUCUGGGAAAUUGCCUGAUGGCGGGGGAUAACUACUGGAAACGGUAGCUAAUACCGCAUACCAUCAGAUGUGCCCAGAGGGGAUUAGCUUGUAGGUGGGGUAAUGGCACACCAGGGCGACGACCCCUAGCUGGUCUGAGAGGAUGACCGGCCACCCGGGAACUGAGACACGGUCCAGACUCCUACGGGAGGCAGAAGUGGGGAAUAUUGCACAAUGGGCGCAAGCCGGAUGCAGCCAUGCCGCGUGUGUGAAGAAGGCCUUCGGGUUGUAAAGCACUUUCAGCGAGGAGGCGUUACUCGCAGAAAAAGCACCGGCUAACUCCGUGCCAGCAGCCGCGGUAAUAC